ACUAGCCCAGUUCACGCCUUGACUUGUAUUCCUUUUGCAUCCCCACCUAGUUCGCUGCCUGGCGGAUGACACACCUAUAUUACAUAUCCGCACAUAUGUGGCCAAAGGAACGCCUCCAUAUUUUCUAAAGGGCCUAGAGAGCACAUAGCAAGUGCCAUGAUGUUGUGUGGGCCACUUUGGUGAAUUACUGGAAGAUGGCAGCUCCAGCUGAAAGGAAGCUAGCACAUAUCCUUUAUGCUUUCUACUCCUUCUCUUCAUCCUGACUGGAGUGUUUGGAGCCCAGCAUCCA